CCACUUGAAGAAGAAGAGGUUGUCGGGUAUCUUCUCACGGGUCUCGACUCCGAGUAUGAUCCGGUGGUGGCAUCGCUGACUACCAGGAGCGAUGCACUCUCCCUCACUGAUGUCUACGCCUACCUCCUCAACUAUGAGA